CCUACGGGUGGCAGCAGUGGGGGAUAUUGCACAAUGGGGGGAACCCUGAUGCAGCGACGCCGCGUGGGUGAAGGAGUGCUUCGGCAUGUAAAGCCCUAUCGGCAGGGAAGAAGCAAGACGGUACCUGACUAAGAAGCCACGGCUAACUACGUGCCAGCAGCCGCGGUAAUACGUAGGGGGCGAGCGUUAUCCGGAUUCACUGGGUGUAAAGGGAGCGUAGACGGCCAAGCAAGCCAGGGGUGAAAGCCCGGGGCCCAACCCCGGGACUGCCCUUGGAACUGCAUGGCUGGAGUGCGGGAGGGGCAGGCGGAAUUCCUGGUGUAGCGGUGAAAUGCGUAGAUAUCAGGAGGAACACCGGCGGCGAAGGCGGCCUGCUGGACUGUGACUGACGUUGAGGCCCGAAGGCGUGGGGAGCAAACAGGAUUAGAUACCCCAGUAGUC
rnacentral:rRNA from 1 species